GUGGGGAAUCUUCCGCAAUGGACGAAAGUCUGACGGAGCAACGCCGCGUGAGUGAUGACGGUCUUCGGAUUGUAAAGCUCUGUUAAUCGGGACGAAAGAGCUCUGUGUGAAUAAUGCAGAGAAGUGACGGUACCGGAAUAGAAAGCCACGGCUAACUACGUGCCAGCAGCCGCGGUAAUACGUAGGUGGCAAGCGUUGUCCGGAAUUAUUGGGCGGAAAGCGCGCGCAGGCGGGUUUUUAAGUCUGUCUUAAAAGUUCGGGGCUUAACCCCGUGAGGGGAUGGAAACUGGAAGCCUAGAGUAUCGGAGAGGAAAGCGGAAUUCCUAGUGUAGCGGUGAAAUGCGUAGAUAUUAGGAAGAACACCAGUGGCGAAGGCGGCUUUCUGGACGAAAACUGACGCUGAGGCGCGAAAGCCAGGGGAGCAAACGGGAUUAGAAACCCCUGUAGUCC
rnacentral:rRNA from 1 species